rnacentral:rRNA from 1 species
CCUACGGGGGGCAGCAGUGGGGAAUAUUGGACAAUGGGGGGAACCCUGAUCCAGCCAUGCCGCGUGUGUGAAGAAGGCCCUCGGGUUGUAAAGCACUUUCAGUGAGGAAGAACGCCUGGUGGUUAAUACCCAUCAGGAAAGACAUCACUCACAGAAGAAGCACCGGCUAACUCCGUGCCAGCAGCCGCGGUAAUACGGAGGGUGCGAGCGUUAAUCGGAAUUACUGGGCGUAAAGCGCGCGUAGGUGGCUUAUAAGCCGGUUGUGAAAGCCCCGGGCUCAACCUGGGAACGGCAUCCGGAACUGUCAAGCUAGAGUGCAGGAGAGGAAGUUAGAAUUCCCGGUGUAGCGGUGAAAUGCGUAGAGAUCGGGAGGAAUACCAGUUGCGAAGGCGGCCUUCUGGACUGACACUGACACUGAGGUGCGAAAGCGUGGGUAGCAAACAGGAUUAGAUACCCCUGUAGUC